rnacentral:lncRNA from 1 species
AAUUGCAAGGCAAUAUUCAAGAAUCUAUGCAUAUGGUUACCGCAUAAUUCAUCCUUUGGAUCCUGAAUGCUCUAGGACGGUCUAGGGUUAAAUUAUCAACCCUGAUGGAUCAUCCUCAUUGUGUUUCAACCUUUUAAAUCCAUCACAUGGAUUAUCCUAUUCAAAGUUUUACUAAAUUGAAAUACAGUGAUGCAUUAGCUUCUAUAAUUCGGAGGGAUCAAUUCUAUUUUAAUCCACAUACAGACUUCGCAAGUAUUUAACUCUACCCAGUGGUCUUCCGUCACUGUAUUAGAAAUGCAGAUAGUUCGGCAUCAAAGUACAGUGAGUUGCUUGCAAGUCACUAUGGUGAUCUCAGAUCUGAGGGACACUUAUGCCCUUACGCUUCGCGAAUUAUUUUUGACAGCAGAGCGCUUAGUAGGUGAGUCACUUGUUUAGUGACGAUAUACUCCUACAUCUCGUCUGUAUGUCAUACCAGUGUCUUCACACUCUUUGAUUAAGAGGACAACCCAUAUGGCACAAUAAUCUUCACUCGAUAAACCUCGUCGUCUUUUAAUGACGUAUCAUUUGAUCACGAACAUUGUUUAAGAACUAUACGAUAAAUUCUCCUUUAUCGAUUACUUUAUAGUUGUAAGGACUUUAUCACAACACGAGUUUUAGCAAGGAAGAUGUAACUUUGUGAUGAAUGAUGCAAAAAUAACUUCUAUUAAUUGAUAAAUAAUUCAUAUACAUAUAACAAAAUAGAGCACAAUCGUCCAUACGAUUGGCUUUAGGACACAUUUUCUAACAACUUUAUUUGAACUAAAAUCAAUCGGGAUAGUAUCUUAUACCCAUCUUCCACUUAUGAUCAUCAAACUCUUUGAUCCUGAG